UCUUAUGUAUGCUGUUGUAGGAUCUAGACCUGAUUUGUGUUGUACUGUAUCUUUCUUGAGUCGAUUCCAAAGUUGUGCCAGUGAAAUGUUGUAUAAAAAUUUAAAACGUGUAUUGAGAUAUGUAAAAUGUACUUUAGAUUUAGAGCUAGUAUAUAAGAGAGAAUGAAUGAUGAUAUGAUUGUAGGCUAUGUAGAUGCAAACUGGGGUGGUGAUUUAGAGAGAAGAUCAACCUCAGGUUAUUGCUUCAAGGUUUUUGGUAAUACUAUUUCUUGGUGUACCAAGAAGCAACAGAGUGUUUCAUUAUCUAGCACAGAAGCUGAGUAUGUUGCUUUGAGCCAAGCUGCAAGCGAGGCUUGUUGGAUAAAAGGAAUUUAAAUUGAUUUUUGUGUUGUUGAAAAUAAGAAAACUUGUAUUUUGUUGUUUGAAGACAAUCAGUCUGCUAUCAAAAUAGCUCAUAAUCCUGAGCAUCAUAAAAAAAUGAAACAUGUAGAUAUAAGGUAUCAUUUUGUAAGAGAGAAAAUUUCUGAAGGUGUUAUUCAAGUUGAGUAUUUAAAAUCCUCAGAUCAGAUUGCUGACAUUUUCACAAAACCCUUGGGAAAGGAACUUUUUGUCAAGUUUAGAAAUAAUAUUUUUUAAUAAUUAAGAUGUUUUGAACUAUGUUAAUUUUCCUAUAACUUACUUUGUUUUUUUUUUAUUGAUAAAUUUUUUUUGGGUUAUUUCAUUGAGGGGGCGUGUUGUUUGACAAUGAAAUAGACUAAAUAAUAAUAUGUGUGAUUGGCAAGGCACUGGUGACUCUGUACUGAACUCUGUCUCUGUGAAGUGUGUGUAACAUGCCUUAAGUAAAACGUUUGAGUUCAAUGUAUUGGUUUGACUUUAAAGUAAAAAUAAAAUCAGUAAUAAUGUUCAAAUAA